rnacentral:lncRNA from 1 species
UUUUGGCCCAAAGCUACAACCACCUGGACAACCACAACCUCCUUGAGCAGGCCAGGCAGGCGUAAGAGCUUCUCCCUCUUUAACUUCUGGCACAGAAUUUUUCACGUUUCCCCUCUGCCCAUUCUGAUUUCGAGCCCAUUUUCCUGUUUUUUUGGCUUUUUUUUGGAUCAAUUUUGCCCCAAAGCUACAACCACCUGGACAACCACGACCCCACCGAGCAGGCCAGGCAGGCGUAAGAGCUUCUCCCCUCUUUUCCUUCUAGCACAGCAUUUUCCACAUCCCCCUCUGCCCAUUCUGGUUGCAAACCCAUUUUCCUGCUUUUUUGGAUUUUUUUGCCCAUUUUCCUGCUUUUUUGGCUUUUUUUUUGAUCAAUUUUGGCCCAAAGCUACAACCAGCUGGACAACCUGGACCCCACGGAGCAGGCCAGGCGGGCGUAAGAGCUUCUCCCUCUUUAACUUCUGGCACAGCAUUUUCCACGUUUCCCCUCUGCCCAUUCUGAUUUCGAGGCCAUCUUCCUGCUUUUUUGGCUUUUUUUGCCCAUUUUCCUGCUUUUUUGGCUUUUUUUGAUAAAUUUUGGCCCAAAGCUACAACCACCUGGACAACCUCGACCCCACCAAACAGGCCAGGCAGGCGUAAGAGCUUCUCCCCUCUUUUCCUUCUGGCACAGCAUUUUUGUUCUGGUUGUGAAUCCAUUUUCCUGCCAUUUUGGAUUUUUUUGCCCAUUUUUUGGCUUUUUUUUUGAUCAAUUUUGGCCCAAAGCUACAACCACCUGAACAACCACGACCCCAUCGAGCAGGCCAGGCAGGCGUAAGAGCUUCUCCCCUCUUUAACUUCUGGCACAGAAUUUUUCAUGUUUCCCCUCUGCCCAUUCUGAUUUCGAGCCCAUUUUCCUGGUUUUUUGGCUUUUUUUGAUCAAUUUUGGCCCAAAGCUACAACCACCUGAACAACCUCGACCCCACCGAGCAGGCCAGGCAGGUGUAAGAGCUUCUCCCUCUUUCACUUCUGGCACAGCAUUUUCCACGUUUC